ensembl:antisense 1700013M08Rik RIKEN cDNA 1700013M08 gene
AUAUCCUGCUAGCUGUACAUUACUUCCAUGUACCUCGAAACCUCAGCCUGUUCCCUAUUCCUUUGAAAAGGCACCUCGCCUGACUUUCUCAUUUCCUUUUUGAAGACUGGGAUGAAACAGUGAUGUUUUGGAAGUUAAGCAGGACUAAUCUGUCAUAUGAGUGGAAAGGCUAAGCUGAGGAGUGCAUUGAUAACUGGGAUUCACACUGAGGGGACAGAUGGGAGAAGUUCUAAACACUGAGCAGUCUGCCCUACAGAUCCUCAAAGACAGGCUGUUGUCUUUGUGUGUUCACUUCAAGGAGAUACUGAGAAAAGAGGCACAUGGUUGACAGUGAUGGAGAAAAGUCCACAGGGAUGGAAACCCAAGCCUCAGGACUUCGGCUGAGACACUGAUGAACAGCCAAGAAGGACACUUUCGAUGUAACUGAGAUGACGUCACCCCAGUGUCCUCUGACAACAACUUUGUGGGAAAAAAAAUGUCCAAGUUUAUGAAGAAAGCAAUGCCCAAACCAGAGAAUCCAGCAAAAUAAUUUAAGCUAUGUCUGUAGCAAACCUUUCCUUACCUCGGGUGGGACUUAGGCAGCAUCCACCACUGUAACAACAUCAGUGGAAAAGUGGGGUCCAAUGGUCUCUUAAAGUUUCAUAGGGGGUGAAAUAAACACACCAGAUUGGGGAAUGAACAGCA